rnacentral:rRNA from 1 species
UGAGUAACCUGCCCUCUUCUUUGGGAUAACGGCCGGAAACGGCUGCUAAUACCGGGUAUUCACUCAUUUCCGCAUGGGGGUGGGUGGAAAGGGGCCCUUUUGGGGUUUCUGGUGGGGGAUGGGCUCGCGGCUUAUCAGCUUGUUGGUGGGGUGAUGGCCUACCAAGGCUUUGACGGGUAGCCGGCCUGAGAGGGUGACCGGUCACAUUGGGACUGAGAUACGGCCCAGACUCCUACGGGAGGCAGCAGUGGGGAAUUUUGCACAAUGGGCGAAAGCCUGAUGCAGCGACGCCGCGUGAGGGAUGGAGGCCUUCGGGUUGUAAACCUCUUUCGCUCAUGGUCAAGCCGCGGGUUUGUUCGUGGUGAGGGUAGUGGGUAAAGAAGCGCCGGCUAACUACGUGCCAGCAGCCGCGGUAAUACGUAGGGCGCGAGCGUUGUCCGGAAUUAUUGGGCGUAAAGGGCUUGUAGGCGGUUUGUCGCGUCUGCCGUGAAAUCCCCUGGCUUAACUGGGGGCGUGCGGUGGGUACGGGCAGGCUUGAGUGCGGUAGGGGAGACUGGAAUUCCUGGUGUAGCGGUGGAAUGCGCAGAUAUCAGGAGGAACACCGGUGGCGAAGGCGGGUCUCUGGGCCGUUACUGACGCUGAGGAGCGAAAGCAUGGGGAGCGAACAGGAUUAGAUACCCUGGUAGUCCAUGCUGUAAACGUUGGGCACUAGGUGUGGGGACCG